UGGCCCACCUCUAUCAGGAGGGGUCUUAAUCCUAUUACUGGCAUCCUUAUAACAGGAAGAAAUUCAAGAGAAAGCCACAGAGGGAGUAGCCAGAAGCUGCAAGUCAAUGGAACCUGAAAGAGAAGGAGAGGCCGGGAGAGGCCGCCAUGUGCAUUGCCAUGUGACAGAGGCGCCCAGGACCAAGAUCACCAGGAACCAGCCCAGAACGCCACCGUCCUUGGGAAGAAGGUUGCCUUGAUUCAGACUUCUACCCUCAAAACUGUGAGCCAGUACGUUCCCGUGGUUUAUGUCAACCCAUUGCAUUGUAUUUUCUUUAGCAACUAGGAAACUAAAACAGAUGCAACAAUUAUGUACCACCCAUCAAAGACCAACUUAAAUACCAGAAGAGGACAGUCUGCACAUCUGACCCCAGCUUGCUGUUCCAGGCUGAGCUCCUGCUGUCCUGGCCUGCGUGUGGAGCACAGAGCGGGCUUCAGCCCCGUGCGCUCGGGGCAGGGCCUUUGUCCUCCAGAAGCUUCGCCCCCACGAGUAGGACGUGCAUUUGAGAACGCCAGUGACCGCCCGGGUGCGCUGCCCAGCCCGGCCCCUCUGUCCUCAGAGGGAGGAUUAGGGAAGGAAUUUCCUUUCACACCAAGAACCAAUAGGGAAGCGGGUGUGGCUCAAGCGAUUGGGCCCCCGUCUACCAUGUGGGAGGUCCAGGGUUCGAUUCCCAGGGCCUCCUGGUGAAGGCAAGCUGGACUGUGCGGCGAGCUGGCCCAUGGGGAGAGCUGGCGCAGCAGGAUGACACAACAAAAGGAGACACAGAGGGGAGACAAUAAGAGGCGCAGCAGACCAGGGAGCUGGGGUGACACAGAGAUUUAAGUGCCUCUCUCCCACUCCGGAAAUUCCCAGGAUCAGUUCCUGGUGCCAUCUAAAGAGAAGACAAGCAGACACAGAAGAACACACAGCAAGUGGACACAGAGAGCAGACAGUGGGGGGCCAGGGGGAUAUAAGUCUUUAAAAAAGAGAAAAAAAGGAACCAAUGCCCAAGCAGUGAGCCCUAAGUUAAACCAUGGGCUACAUGCUUUCGACAAUUGUA
rnacentral:lncRNA from 1 species